AAAUAAACAAACAUUAAAAAAAAAUUUUUUUUUUUAAAUAGAAGAAGAGAGAGUCCUGAUACAUGUGUGAGGGAAAGUGGAGAGAGAACCACGUGGCCAAAUUGCAAAAUUUUCCACAUUAGCUUUGCUGACCUUAAACUUUCAACUGCCGGUUAUUUUACCAGCAAAAGAUGGGUUUAUUCAAGAAUGGCGGAGAAUUACAAUCUAGGACAAGCAAGGGCAAAGGAGAGUUUCAUGGCAGGAAAGCAACAGCAAGAGAAAGAAGGAAAGAGGGGGCGAGGUAGGGUCCUAUCAACGUCACAUCUCAGGCCCACGGAGGCAGGAAAACGGAAAGAGGCUGAUCCGCCAUCGUUGCUGGCCCACCUGUAGAUGUGGCCCAAGCCACAAUGCGGCCUCUGCCCAGUUGGAUCUCAGCCCCUUCCUCUAGGAGAACAGCAGGACGGAACUAGGAGAAGGACAUUCCUCCCCAGUCUCCAGCCGGCUCCCCCUCACGUAGCACACAUUGCAAAUUAUAUUCACAGUGUCAAAGAACAAGGAAGAGGCCGCCUCACAAGGACUGUAUAGAAGAGAUUUCAUGUCAAUUUCAACAUCAGGUUUAUGUUGCUACCUGCCUUCUUUCCGGACAGACCCCUUUCCCAUCUUUUCAAGAUGGGACCGAUUUCUCAUCUGUGAGGUAAUAACCAUGGGUCACAGCUGCUCACCGGACUGGCACGCAGAACGUCAGAAACGCUCCUCGGGGUCGGGAAACACCGCGUCUGUCAGCCUUUGGAGGUGAGCUCGGGGAGACGUGGGGCGCAGUGGCCCGGCCUCCCCGGUCCUUCCCCGGACCAAGGACACUGUUUUCCCCAAGGAGACCGUUUUUGUUUUUCUUUCCAUGGAAAAGAAAAGUCAGUUAUGGAUGGGAUGGGAAACUCACUUUAUAAACUAAAGAUUGCUUUUAUCUCCUGAAACUUAGCUUCUGAAUAAGAUUCUUUUCUACUUUUAGAGACAACGUUUGUUUAUAUUCUAACCAAACUUUUUUUUUUUUUUUUUUCUCCCAAAGCCAACGCCUCAAUUAGAGGAGAAAUGAACUGUAUCAAAGCACAGGGCUUUCAAGGGAUCUUUUCUCGGGCAGUGCCCCAAGGGCACAUGUGUCUAAUCUCCUCAAAUCUUCUUUGUCUCAGCCUGGGGCUGGGGUGGGUCAGUACUCCCUCCUCCUCCCCCCGCCUCCCCAGACCCCAUCCCUCCUCCACUGACCACAGCCCUGAGCCAUGCAAGACACCUGCAGGCUGGGCCCAGGGUCCUCUUGUUAGGACAGAACCCAGAGGUAAGAAAGCCCGACGCCCAGCCAGGAAAAGGAGGAGGCUUUCCUCCUGAAGACUCUCCUUGUUCAGUGACUCGUGUUCAACCACCGCAGCGGUGAUAAGCUUUCAGGAAGCUCAAGUCAGCAGCUCUCAACCCUUUUAUCACUUGCGAGGUGCGUCAGUAACUACGUUGUUUCCUCGUAGCAGUGACAGUGCUGGAGUUUAUGAACAAUUUACCUUUCUAA